UACGAAGGGGGCUAGCGUUGCUCGGAUUGACUGGGCGUAAAGGGCGCGUAGGCGGUUUGCAUAGUCAGACGUGAAAUUCCUGGGCUUAACCUGGGGGGCUGCGUUUGAUACAUGCAGGCUUGAGUUCGGAAGAGGGUCGUGGAAUUCCCCAGUGUAGAGGUGAAAUUCGUAGAUAUUGGGAAGAACACCGGUGGCGAAGGCGGCGACCUGGUCCGAUACUGACGCUGAGGCGCGAAAGCGUGGGGAGCAAACAGG
rnacentral:rRNA from 1 species